rnacentral:rRNA from 1 species
AGUGAACGCUGGCGGCAGGCUUAACACAUGCAAGUCGAGGGACCCCUUCGGGGUUAGUGGCGAUCGGGGAUGGAACCCGGGGGAACGGGGCUUAAGGCUUGUAAUAACUGCGGUUAACCUGUGGUUAAACCGAAGGAGCCCGGAGGGGGAAAGAUUGUUCGCCUUUAGAGCGGCCCGCGUUUGAUGAGCGAGUUGGUGGAGGUAGUGGCUCACCAAGGCGAUGAUCAGUAGCGGGUCUGAGAGGAGGGUCAGCGACAUUGGGACUGAGACACGGACCAGACUCCUACGGGAGGCAGCAGUGGGGAAUCUUGCGCAGUGGGCUAAAGCCUGACGCAGCCAUGCUGCGUGAAUUAUGCAGGUCUUAGGCUUGUAAAAUGCUUUCACCGGGGACGAUAAUGACGGUACCCGAUGAAGAAGCCCCGGCUAACUUCGUG